rnacentral:lncRNA from 1 species
CAAGUAGUUCUUUGUGUGAAACAAGGAAAAGGUUUUUUGGGUUGGUUUUUUUGGGGGUUUUCUUUGGGUUUGGGUUUUUUUUUUUUUGUCAGGUUAAGUUGAGAAUGCUAUUAAUCUUUUGUUUCUCUACCUCUAGAUACUAGAAGCCUCAAAACUUCAUGUCUUUACCUUGUCUUUUUGCCAAGCCUUUCUCAUUAGCCUAUACUACUUUUCUUUCCACUGCAUUAAGUUACUUCUUGUGGUGCCCAUCAUGAAGACAGGCACAGAAACAGCAGUAUUAUUUACCUUUGGUAGUCUUAAAUACAGUUUCUCUCUUGAAUGCAAACCACGGUGGGGAAUGGAACUUACUUCUAAUGUUGGAUUGCAAUUACUGAUCCAAAGCAAACCAGGCUACAAAACCCACAGAAUUUAGGGAUUUCUUAGUCAACAUUAGAUGAUGUUUGGUUUUUACUGUAGUAAUUACCAUGCCAAACAUCAUACUAAUCAAGCAAUCUGAGCAGCACAUAUUUUUCUGCAUCAAGUGGUUUUAAACUGCCGAAGAAAACACAUUUAUUUAAGCACAUACAUGUAUGGGGCAGUUGGGAGACACACAUUAACCUAAAACAAACAAGGCAUGGCGAGCUGCUGUGUCAACUUACAGCAAGCUUGCUGCAUCCCAAAGCUAGAGACAUAUGAAGAAAUUAAUCACUGGCACACCAAACUGGAAUAUAUGAUAUGGCUCCUAUAAACUUCCUAGCCUUGCUGAAAGGUGUUACACAAGGCUGAAUUAGCGAGGGUUGUGUUUGCCACCCUUCCAAAGACCUGCACUCCAACGCACAGAUUGCCGUUUCACACUUUCACACACACAGCCUGCUGUCACGGCAGGAUUUACUCCAGGCCAAUUUCCUCAAAGUCAUGUCAGUCUAAUGCUCUGUUGUGUUUCUGCAGUUCUUGUACCACUAGACUUCUUUGCACUCUUGGGAAUCUGUUUUAACUCACCAGCAUCAACAAUACCCAGGCAUGGCUGUGUCUUCCCCAGAAAGGGAAAGGAGUGACACACUGCUUCUGCUGUAGUAUGCAGCAAUUGCACCUCUUCAGUA